UUACUGGGCGUAAAGCGUGCGCAGGCGGUUUGUAAGUCUGUCGUGAAAGCCCCGGGCUCAACCUGGGAAUUGCGAUGGAGACUGCAAGGCUUGAAUCUGGCAGAGGGGGGUAGAAUUCCACGUGUAGCAGUGAAAUGCGUAGAGAUGUGGAGGAACACCGAUGGCGAAGGCAGCCCCCUGGGUCAAGAUUGACGCUCAUGCACGAAAGCGUGGGGAGCAAACAGGAUUAGAUACCCUGGUAGUCCACGCCCUAAACGAUGUCUACUAGUUGUCGGGUUUUAAUUAACUUGGUAACGCAGCUAACGCGUGAAGUAGACCGCCUGGGGAGUACGGUCGCAAGAUUAAAACUCAAAGGAAUUGACGGGGACCCGCACAAGCGGUGGAUGAUGUGGAUUAAUUCGAUGCAACGCGAAAAACCUUACCUACCCUUGACAUGUACGGAAGUCACGAGAGAUCGAGAUGUGCUCGAAAGAGAACCGUAACACAGGUGCUGCAUGGCUGUCGUCAGCUCGUGUCGUGAGAUGUUGGGUUAAGUCCCGCAACGAGCGCAACCCUUGUCAUUAGUUGCUACAUUCAGUUGAGCACUCUAAUGAGACUGCCGGUGACAAACCGGAGGAAGGUGGGGAUGACGUCAAGUCCUCAUGGCCCUUAUGGGUAGGGCUUCACACGUCAUACAAUGGUACAUACAGAGGGCCGCCAACCCGCGAGGGGGAGCUAAUCCCAGAAAGUGUAUCGUAGUCCGGAUCGCAGUCUGCAACUCGACUGCGUGAAGUUGGAAUCGCUAGUAAUCGCGGAUCAGCAUGUCGCGGUGAAUACGUUCCCGGGUCUUGUACACACCGCCCGUCACACCAUGGGAGCGGGUUUUACCAGAAGUAGGUAGCUUAACCGCAAGGGGGGCGCU
rnacentral:rRNA from 1 species